rnacentral:miRNA from 1 species
AUUCAAGGCUCAAACUCGAGACCU